UUGAUUUCAUAUUUUAGGUUUUGCUUAUUGUUAUUAUUUAGAACAUUAUGAACGCUUUAGAUUUCUUUGUUUGGUUUUUAUUUUAAUUUACUUCAUCGCCAAGUAAUAGGUUGCACACAUGACGCGAGUUUUGGGGUAUAGGGUUUUCUUAUAAAUAGGCACCCUUGUUAGUUCUUUUGAUUUAUUGAAAAUUAAUAAAAAUUCUGCGUUUUUCUACUCUUUGAGUUGUGAAGCCUAAUUGGGUGCGAAGCCUAUCCUUCUUCGAAGGGUUAACUACCGUGGUGCGAAGUCACAUCUAUCUCAAUUCACCUCCAUCCAUCGCCAUCUCUAUUACCCGUCUUAUACCAUCCACCCUUCUCAUCUCCCAUAAUCAUCUGCGCUACAAAUCUGUCCCUUAUUGCAUUAAAUUCCCUCUCUUCAACAGAUUCGCAGAAUCUGGCCUUGCAGGAGGGAUGAAACUUCGAUGGAGCACUACCCCCAGGCCGUAGCUCGGAUCAACGUGAAAUUUGGGGGUUUUGAAGCCCAAGCCUGUCUGACUAACCCCAAGGAGACGAUUUUUGGGUCCGUGGGUCCCACACACGUGCGGCCGAUCACCAGCGCACGUGCGUCAGGUCCCACUCGUGGUCCGCACGUGACAGCUGUCUUCUGGUUCAGGGUUCCUUCUCCUUUACUCUCUCAUAUCUGUUUUUCAUAAACCUUAACCCUAAAUGGUCCUAAAUUCCCAAAUUCUAUCCCUAUUCUCACCCUAGGAUUCCCUGAAUUGAAAUUGGUAAAUCCCUUGGAUUAGGGGCUGAUUACUAUGCAUGUGUGGAUGAUUAUUUCUUAUCUUUGAGUAUCGUUUGGCUUAUAAUUUUUAUUGUUCCAGCCCUAGCCUGUGUAGGCCUGGACUUGCAUAGAUUCCCCUUAAUUGAAUGUUGGGACUUUCAUGUGGGAUAUGAAAUUUGUGUAAUUGUUUCUGAACUAACGUGAUCUUAAGCUUGAAUUCUUGCACAUCAUAUCUGAAUUUCAUGUCCUGCAUCAUCUACAUGCAAGAACACUUUCCUAUCUGAAGGACAUGUGCGAGAUGUGAGAUUUCUAUUAGCCCACCUGAACAAUGAAAUGGCUUGAUUAUAUAGGGAAAAGAUCCAAGAACUGUUUCCAACCAGAUAGAAGAUACGAUACACAUUUCAUGCAUUAGCACGUGUUCCUGUGUGUAGAUGAGCAGGGAGUCCACAUGCAUGAGCAAUUAGAAACCUCUUUGCAAUCAUUUGGUUUUGCCUAUGUUGGUACCAAGGAGAAUUUCACGUGUUGCACCAUUGGGCCCCCCACCAUGGUAUUAAAAAACAGUCAUGUAAUAGUAAUGGUGGGCACUGGUACGUGAUGUGGGCUGUAAUGGUCAUUCUGAAAAAAAAAAAAGGCCCUUGGAACUAGAUGGUUACCUCCUCAGUUGAGGUCAAGAACAAAGAAUUGUCUUUUUUUUUUCUAUAUCAUUGUUUGAUGAUUCAUUUUUCAUUUAUCUGAUUUCAUGGAUUGGGUCCCUACUCAUGGCUCAAUGGUAGACUCGUUGAGUUUCAACACUAAGGUCGUGGGUUAGAGUGCCCAUUGUGGUGUGCGUGGGUGUGUGUGUGUGU